rnacentral:snRNA from 1 species
GGAUGUGAGGGCGAUCUGGCUGCUACAUCUGUCACCCCAUUGAUCGCCAGGGUUGAUUCAGCUGAUCUGGCUGGCUGGCGGGUGUCCCCUUCCUCCCUCACAGCUCCAUGUGUUUCCCUCCUGAAGCUACGUGCUUGGUCGAAGAGGACGGCCUUCCCCGAAUAGAGACGUUGGUCGGUCAUCGGUCGAGGGUAUACGAGUAGCUGCACUCCCCUGCUAGAACCUCCAAACAAGCUCUCAAGAAAGGAUCCUGAAGGUUGCACAGAAAAACAAAGAGUAAUCUACAGA